GACGAACCGUGCGAACGUUAUUCGGAAUCACUGGGCUUAAAGCGCGUGUAGGCGGGCCGGCGCGUCCGGUGCUGAAAUCCCCCGGCUCAACCGGGGAAGCGGCGCGGAUACGGCCGGCCUGGAGGGGGGUAGGGGGGCCUGGAACUGCCGGUGGAGCGGUGAAAUGCGUUGAGAUCGGCAGGAACGCCCGCGGCGAAAGCGAGGCCCUGGACCCUUACUGACGCUGAGACGCGAAAGCCAGGGGAGCGAACGGG
rnacentral:rRNA from 1 species